ACAAGCGGCGGAGCAUGCGGAUUAAUUCGAUGCAACGCGAAGAACCUUACCAAGGCUUGACAUACACCGGUAACGCCCAGAGAUGGUGCCCCUUGUGGUCGGUGUACGAGGUGGUGCAUGGGUUGUCGUCAGCUCGUGUCGUGAGAUGUUGGGUUAAGUCCCGCAACGAGCGCAACCCUCGUCCUAUGUUGCCAGCGGGUCAUGCCGGGGACUCAUGGGAGACUGCCGGGGUCAACUCGGAGGAAGGUGGGAUGACGUCAAAUCAUCAUGCCCCUUAUGUCUUGGGCUUCACGCAUGCUACAAUGGCCGGUACAAAGGGCUGCGAUACCGCGAGGUGGAGCGAAUCCCAGAAAGCCGGUCUCAGUUCGGAUUGGGGUCUGCAACUCGACCCCAUGAAGUCGGAGUCGCUAGUAAUCGCAGAUCAGCAACGCUGCGGUGAAUACGUUCCCGGGCCUU
rnacentral:rRNA from 1 species